rnacentral:rRNA from 1 species
GACGAACGCUGGCGGCGUGCUUAACACAUGCAAGUCGAACGGAAAGGCCCUGCUUUUGUGGGGUGCUCGAGUGGCGAACGGGUGAGUAACACGUGAGUAACCUGCCCUUGACUUUGGGAUAACUUCAGGAAACUGGGGCUAAUACCGGAUAGGAGCUCCUGCUGCAUGGUGGGGGUUGGAAAGUUUCGGCGGUUGGGGAUGGACUCGCGGCUUAUCAGCUUGUUGGUGGGGUAGCGGCUUACCAAGGCUUUGACGGGUAGCCGGCCUGAGAGGGUGACCGGCCACAUUGGGACUGAGAUACGGCCCAGACUCCUACGGGAGGCAGCAGUGGGGAAUAUUGCACAAUGGGCGGAAGCCUGAUGCAGCAACGCCGCGUGCGGGAUGACGGCCUUCGGGUUGUAAACCGCUUUCGCCUGUGACGAAGCGUGAGGGACGGUAAUGGGUAAAGAAGCACCGGCUAACUACGU